rnacentral:rRNA from 1 species
UACGGGGGGGGCAAGCGUUGUUCGGAAUUACUGGGCGUAAAGGGCGCGUAGGCGGUUUGCUAAGUCGGAUGUGAAAACUCUGGGCUCAACCCAGAGCCUGCAUCCGAAACUGGCAGGCUAGAGUUCUGGAGGGGGUAGCGGAAUUCCUGGUGUAGCGGUGAAAUGCGUAGAUAUCGGGAGGAACACCUGUGGCGAAAGCGGCUCACUGGACCAUAACUGACGCUGAUGCACGAAAGCGUGGGGAGCAAACAGG